CUCUCUUUGCUGAGAUGAAAGGCCCACGUUGUAGAGAACAUUCUCCACUCCUGAUAAACAGGAUAUCGGACUCCCCUUGGAGAUGAUGCCUGCUCACCUGAGUCCAUCCCAGAUCACAGGAGCCAAAGACAUGGCCCUGGUGGAUGUGAGCGGUCCAAGUCCUCAGGCAGCGGCUCUCAGCCCUGGCAGGUGGUACAGAGCCCACACGGGAACUUGAAGGUAUUGCCUGGUCCAGCUCUACCUGUCCUGUCCAGGUCUCAUUGGUGAGAAAGUGUCCUGGCGUUGAUAUUCGUCAGAC
rnacentral:lncRNA from 1 species